GGCGGGGCCCGAGUCUCCUCACUGUCAGCCCUGCUGAUGCGGACCUGGCUUGGCCUCCGGGGUGAAAGCGGAGAGCUACGAACCGCGUCUGCCUUGUUCACUGCGGUGGACGGUGGACGCAGCGAAUAGCACACAUCCCGAGAACGCCACAAAUAGCUAACGAAUAAUGUGUGGAUGAGAACCCAGAUUUAACAGGCGCUCAGCUUGUGCCGGGCUUUGUUCUAAGCUCCUAGCAAGUGAAGAAAUGCGUGCACAUUAAGUGCCGCAGUGUAGGCCUGGUCCAUGUCGCCCUACAUAUGCUUACGUACCUUAUGAUACGGAGGGCUAGGAACUGGGAUGAAGAGGCAGGUCACCAUCUGAGACACAGAAAUCCGCAGAGACCUGGAAGAUAAAGAGACUGCAUAUUGGCUGCACCGUGAGUCAGCACCAGCAUGGGAGACACUCAGGCAGCCAAGGGACUCAAACAUCUGCAACCUGGCUCCGAGCCAAGGAUACAGAUAACGGGCUCCAAAUUCCCAGUCCUGCACGAUGGGCUCAAAACUAAAAUCAUUUAUUAUUUCUAAGAGGAUGAAAAUCAGAAAAAACUGAGUAAUCCAUCUACAAGGAUUUAUAAAUGAACCAAAUGUC